rnacentral:rRNA from 1 species
GACGAACGCUGGCGGCGUGCCUAAUACAUGCAAGUAGAACGCACAGUUUAUACCGUAGCUUGCUACACCAUAGACUGUGAGUUGCGAACGGGUGAGUAACGCGUAGGUAACCUGCCUGGUAGCGGGGGAUAACUAUUGGAAACGAUAGCUAAUACCGCAUAAUAUUGAUUAUUGCAUGAUAAUUGAUUGAAAGAUGCUAUUGCAUCACUACCAGAUGGACCUGCGUUGAAUUAGCUAGUAGGUGAGGUAACGGCUCACCUAGGCGACGAUACAUAGCCGACCUGAGAGGGUGAUCGGCCACACUGGGACUGAGACACGGCCCAGACUCCUACGGGAGGCAGCAGUAGGGAAUCUUCGGCAAUGGACGAAAGUCUGACCGAGCAACGCCGCGUGAGUGAAGAAGGUUUUCGGAUCGUAAAGCUCUGUUGUAAGAGAAGAACGGGUGUGAGAGUGGAAAGUUCACACUGUGACGGUAUCUUACCAGAAAGGGACGGCUAACUACGUG